rnacentral:lncRNA from 1 species
CUAUAACUAAGAGGUAUUACUCAUUUAUAACACCCACACUAAACAUUCUAAGUUUUUCACAAUGAUGCAUUUGAAAAUAUUUGUGUUCUACAGGAAGGAAAUCUCAGUGAUAAAUGAUCUAUAUGUGGAGGCAAUUAUAUUUGUUUAUAAAUUGUGAUUUUAUCUCCUUGGUUUGUACAUACCUAUUAAAGAUUUAUUAAGGAAUGCUCCGAGCUUGAAAAAUAAGAAUGAUUGAAAUAUUCAAUUUGAUAAUUCAUGAAAGGAUAAUAAAUACUACAUAAUAUACAAUGAUUUCAGAUCUGCCUUGGCAAAGCUUAUUUUUUGGCGUCAAAACUGUCUUUAACUGGGCGAAAUAUCCCUCAUUUUCAGUUAGUACCCACCAUCAAAAUACAGCUGUCCAAAUUGCAUGACAAUUUUUCCUUUAGUUUGUGAGUUAUUGAGCUAAGUGUGACGCUACUUUUGUUAUUUCAAAAACAAUGGAUCAAAAACAUUUUCUUGUUUUAGUGUUGCACUGCUUAUUGAAGGUGAAGUGCAUGUGUCAGUUAUUGAGCUCUAUAAGAAUCAAAUAAAACCAUCUGAAAUUAGGAACGCCUGGGAUCACAUUUUACCACCAAUUCACACACAAAGGCAUCAAACGAUAUGAGGAGAGUGUAAUAAUCAAAAACAACUACUAAGAUCUAAUGUCGUCCCAGCUAUCCGAGCCAAAAUUUAUAGGAACCCGACUAAAUCGUCAAACAUUAUAAUACCUGAUCAUAGUAUGUCACACAGCUCUUUACUCCAAUAGUCCAUGAGGACCUAAAAAUGUAAUUCCAGAGGCUUCAAUCCCACCCGUUCAUAAAUAAGACAAUGACAGUACUCUGUGUGGAAGGAAGUAAAAUUUUGCUUCAAAAUUUGGAAAUUAUCUUCUCAGAUUAUAAAAAUUUUCACUUGGAUUCCUAAUUUAAUCAUUAAAAUGACCGUAUCAUAACUGGAGCAGUUAAUGAGAUUCCAUCGAAUUUAAGGCAAGUCCUUGUAUCCAAAUUUGCAUCCUAGGUAAUGGCGUUGGUCGGAAUUUAUUGCCAAGUAUUCAAUUCCAGGAAAGUUUAUACAUAACAUGGUCUUUGGUUGAACCAAGAAUACUAUAUAUUCGAAGUAUUAGAGACUGUUGUACUUCCUUCGUAUAAAUCCUGGAAGAAAAAUAACAAGAAGCUUACUUUUCAGCAGGACGGCGCUCUUGCAUAUACUGGAAAGUAAGCUCGAGAGUAAUUGCUAUCAAAAAUGCAAUUUUGGCCGAAAAAGUUUUGACCUUCUUGAGCCCAGAUCCUCGAUUAUUUGGUUUAGGGCUAUUUAGGGUAGAAGGUGGGAAUAACCAGACAUCCAAAUGUUGAAUAUCUCCAAUUUAACAAUAAACAGGAAUGGGACGCACAUAGUGCGUAAAUUGUUUCAGUCAUUCCCAAAAAGACUCACAUUAAUAUUCGACAAUGAAGGUGGUU